AUCGCUUCUCGGCCUUUUGGCUAAGAUCAAAGUUUAGUUUCUGUUCUUAUCGAAUUAACCUUCGAUAGAGAUUCGAAUGAAUCUCGUUAAGGUUAUUUGAUUUUCGAGACCGGACGAGGUUGUGGGCUUGCUCGCACCUCGUCACGGGUCGGGCCAGCGUUGCACUGCUGCUGGGAUCGGCCCGCCCCAC
rnacentral:snRNA from 1 species